ACAUAAAGACAAACAACAAUACACAAAACGCACAUGCUUAGCCAACCAAAUACACGUUUAUGGUUUAUAUUGUCAGAAUAAAGUCUUAUUCUAAAAGAAUUAAAUAGUAUAGACCUUAUAUUUGUCCUGUAAAAUCUUGAUUUUAAUUUCAAUUUAAUAAAUACAACACAUGAACGUCGAACAUCAUGGAAUAUUUAUUACUUUUUCAGAUAAUUAGCAGACCUAACAAUCCGGAAGGUAGUUUAUCAGAGUUAAAAAAUAUGACGAAAAUGAUAAUUGACAGACUGGAAAAAAUAGAGGAUAGUAUCAAAGAAUUCAAAGAUAUGACGAAAACGUUAUAUAUAGCCAACAUUAAGCAGAAGUCAGUUGAAAUGUCAGAAGAAGGGGGAAUAUAUAAUUAAAUGGCUUCGCCAA